rnacentral:tRNA from 1 species
GCCGGCGUGGCGGAAUGGCAGACGCGCUGGACUCAAAAUCCAGUGAUCGCAAGAUCGUGUGGGUUCAAGUCCCUCCGCCGGCACCA